CUGCGAGUGAAGAGGGAAGAGCUCAAAUUUUAAAUCUGAAAGUGUUCCACUUUCCGAGUUGUAAAUUCAAGAAGUGUUAUCCGUGUCUGGACCAUGCACAAGUCUCUUGGAAAAGAGCAUCAUAGAGGGUGACAAUCCCGUCUCUGGCAGUGGACUCCCAGCACUCUGUGAUACACUCUCAAUGAGUCGAGUUGUUUGGGAAUGCAGCUCUAAAUGGGUGGUAAAUUCCAUCUAAAGCUAAAUAUUGGCGAGAGACCGAUAGCGAACAAGUACCGUGAGGGAAAGAUGAAAAGAACUUUGAAAAGAGAGUUAAACAGUAUGUGAAAUUGUUGAAAGGGAAACGCUUGAAGUCAGUCAUGUUCUGCAGAAAUCAACCUCACCAAUUCUGGUGUGGUGCACUUUCUGCUGGACAGGCCAGCAUCAAUCUUGACUGCUGGAAAAAGGCAAUGGAAAUGUAGUGCCUCUUGGCAUGUUAUAGUCCUUGACUGUAUACAGUAGUUGGGAUUGAGGAACUCAGUGAUAUGAUGCUGGCGUAAUGGCUUUAAUCGACCCGUCUUGAAACACGGACCAAGGAGUCUAACAUGCAUGCAAGUGUUUGAGUGGAAAACUCAAGCGCGCAAUGAAAGUGAAAGUUGAGAUCUAUGAAAAUAGUGCACCAACGCCCGGUCCAGAGCUUCUGUGAUGGAUCUGCGGUAGAGCAUGUAUGUUGGGACCCGAAAGAUGGUGAACUAUGCCUGAAUAGGGUGAAGCCAGAGGAAACUCUGGUGGAAGCUCGUAGCGAU
rnacentral:rRNA from 1 species